UACGUAGGUGGCAAGCCGUUGUCCGGAUUUAUUGGUUUAAAGGGUGCGUAGGUGGUCUAUUAAGUCGAGUGCUGAAAAUAUCCCGGCUUAACCGGGAGGGUGGCAUUGAUACUGAUGGACUUGAGUAAAGUUGAGGUGGGCGGAAUUGACGGUGUAGCGGUGAAAUGCUUAGAUAUCGUCAAGAACACCUAUUGCGAAGCAGCUCACUAAGCUUUAACUGACACUGAUGCACGAAAGUGUGGGGAUCAAACAGG
rnacentral:rRNA from 1 species